AAAAACUUAAUAUUUUCGUAGGGGGUUAACACAUAUAUUUUGAGAAAAUGACAAGAAUUUGACAAUAUUAUUUUAAUGCAUAGUUGCAUCUUGCACUAACAUAUGAUGAUGCUCAAAGAGGUUUUGAGCCUUUGUUGUCUCCGUUUUUCAAGAAAAUAGUGAUUCUAUAGUGGUUAUUCCAACUAUUUAUGGAGUAUUAUGAAGUUUUGCUAAAUUAAUUGAUAAAAAAUUAUAAAGAUUCUCAUAUACCAUGAAAGAUAGUUUAACAU
rnacentral:lncRNA from 1 species